CCGAAACUAAGUGAGCUACUUCAGAACAGCCCUAUAGAGCUAACCCGUCUCUGUUGCAAAAGAGUGGGAUGAUUUUCAAGUAGAGGUGAUAAGCCUACCGAACUUAGAGAUAGCUGGUUACUUAAGAAAAGAAUAUUAGUUCAGCCCUGAGCCUUUUUUUAACCAAAAAAUUUUCCUAGGCUCAGGACUUAUUCAAAUAAGGCACAGCUUAUUUGAAACAGGAAACAACCUACAAUAUCGGGUACGCACAUAACGAUUAGUUUAAUAAGUGGGCCUAAAAGCAGCCACCUUUUAAAAAGCGUCAAAGCUUAAUUUUUUGAAUCCCCCUAAUACCUGCAUUUCUCGCCAACCCUUAAUUAAUAUUAAGUAACUCCAUAAUCUUAUGGAAGCUAUAAUGCUAGAACUAGUAACAAGAAAAAGACUUUUCUCCAAAAUGUAAGCUUAAGUCAUAAUAGACAAUCUACUGACAAUCAACGCAAAUGAACCUAGUACAACAACAAUACAAGAAAAACCUGUAACCUUAAGCGUCAACCUUACACCAGAACA
rnacentral:rRNA from 1 species